GUGGGGAAUAUUGGACAAUGGGCGAAAGCCUGAUCCAGCCAUGCCGCGUGUGUGAAGAAGGUCUUCGGAUUGUAAAGCACUUUAAGUUGGGAGGAAGGGCAUUAACCUAAUACGUUAGUGUUUUGACGUUACCGACAGAAUAAGCACCGGCUAACUUCGUGCCAGCAGCCGCGGUAAUACGAAGGGUGCAAGCGUCAAUCGGAAUUACUGGGCGUAAAGCGCGCGUAGGUGGUUCGGUAAGUUGGAUGUGAACGCCCCGGGCUCAACCUGGGAACUGCAUCCAAAACUGGGGAGCUAGAGUACGGUAGAGGGUGGUGGAAUUUCCUGUGUAGCGGUGAAAUGCGUAGAUAUAGGAAGGAACACCAGUGGCGAAGGCGACUACCUGGACUGAUACUGACACUGAGGUGCGAAAGCGUGGGGAGCAAACAGGAUUAGAUACCCGAGUAGUCC
rnacentral:rRNA from 1 species